UUUGAUCAUGGCUCCGGACGAACGCUGGCGGCGUGCCUAACACAAACAAAUCGAACGGAACUGUUUUGAAAGAUUUUUUUGGAAUGAAUUUUAUUUAGUUUAAUGGCGGACGGGCGAGUUACGCGCGAGUAACCUGCCUUCAAGAGGGGGAUUACCCUUUGAAAAGGAAGCUAAUACCGCAAGGCAUAUUGGAACCACAUGGUUCUCAAAUCAAAAAAUUUAUCGCUUGAAGAUGGGCUUGCGUCCGAUUAGGUAGUUGGUGAGGUAACGGCUCACCCAGCCCGCGAUCCGUAGCCGGGGUGAGAGGUUGAACGGCCCCCAUGGGACUGAGACCCGGCCCCGACUCCUACGGGAGGCAGCAGUGGGGGAUAUUUCGCAAUGGGGGCAACCCUGACGCAGCAACGCCGCGUGAAGGAUGAAGGUUUUCGGAUUGUAAACUUCUUUUAUUUAGGAAGAAACUUGACGGUACCUCAUGAAUAAGCUCCGGCUAACUUCGUG
rnacentral:rRNA from 1 species